CUAGGAUCUUGCGUUUCUCUCCGUCUCAGCCAAGCAUUCGCGCACCAGCCCUCUAGCAUGGAUUAUUCCUACAAAGAAAAGGCAAAGACACUUCAACGUUGAAUCACCCACAGCUGUGCCAAAUUUUAACAUGCACACAUCCAGGUUUACACCCACCUCUCUUCAGUCUCUCCAUCGCACUCUUGCUUCCAGCAUAUGUGGGCCUGAUCUCCUUCCCAAGCUCUUCGAUGAUGGCCAGCAGCUCUGCAUAUUUGUUCUGAGGCACUUGGCUACCAGUGGAGCCCUGAGGUUGGAGCAAACGGUGCAAGAUGAGCCAGGUUUGACACAUUUCAUCUCAUUCUUUUUUUAUUGGAAGUGAAAGACACUCUUUUGCGGAGAACAUUACAACAAGAAAAAGAAGAAGCAGCUUAUAUUGUUGUCCAAAAUUUAUAAGGAACAACUUAAAGCUGGAGUGCAUACAAUAUAUUCAUAUAAAUGAAAGCCAGUUGCAUAUAUAUAUGUGAAUAUGUUUGUUUUUAAAUGCACCUGUGAGAAUCCCAGGGAUGGAGGUCCGUAGUCACUCAGGAGAGGCCUGUAAGACUGCAACGUGGCCAGGUUCGCUGCUGAGGGAGACUGGAGGUUCCCAACUGUUGACAGAUCAAACAUUGACAGCACUUCCUCCCCCACCCCUGGGGAUGAAUAAACUCCCCCAUGGUGAGGGUUUUUCUCUGGAGGAUUUUGUCCUCCAUUAUCGAUGCUCCCCUGCUGCUUUGUUCACUUGUAAUACUCCGCCUCCGACGCCAGGUGUCCUCGAAGAGUCGUAAAAAAAUUCAGAGGCAGAUCGAUCAGCAGCUCCGACCGAGGAGCAUCAUGGAGGAAACGGAACAAGGCUGGCUUAAGAAGACAGAAGUGAUACAUUUUUGUCACCGUGUAACGGCAGCCGCCCGGCGGGACCGCAGCCCCGAACGACGGAUAAACCCAUUUUAGGAACCUCCGCCGUCUCGCCUCUCACCCCGGCCGCCUUUCUCCGCCGCCUGAUAUCACGGAUGGCGCUCUUUUACAUUAGUAAUAAUGGCGGAUAUGAAUUAGCCUAGCUCCCAGGAUCUGACCCUAUAUAUAUAACUGGACAAAAACUACAGACACUGUCUUUCUCCAGGUAUUCUCCGAGACCCCGAAUUUAACACACGAUUUAACCGACGGAUACUAUGAUUUUUCCCCACGUUUUCUCCUUACCCUGGUUCCCAGAAGUUCCCGGAAUUUGCUGAUGGACAUUGGGUUUAUAAGACAUUCCCAAAGACAUUGUAAAUUAAAGAAAUAAAAAUGACCCGAAAUUCA